rnacentral:rRNA from 1 species
UGGCGGCGUGCCUAAUACAUGCAAGUCGAGCGAGCGGAACUAACAGAUUUACUUCGGUAAUGACGUUAGGAAAGCGAGCGGCGGAUGGGUGAGUAACACGUGGGGAACCUGCCCCAUAGUCUGGGAUACCACUUGGAAACAGGUGCUAAUACCGGAUAAGAAAGCAGAUCGCAUGAUCAGCUUUUAAAAGGCGGCGUAAGCUGUCGCUAUGGGAUGGCCCCGCGGUGCAUUAGCUAGUUGGUAAGGUAAAGGCUUACCAAGGCGAUGAUGCAUAGCCGAGUUGAGAGACUGAUCGGCCACAUUGGGACUGAGACACGGCCCAAACUCCUACGGGAGGCAGCAGUAGGGAAUCUUCCACAAUGGACGCAAGUCUGAUGGAGCAACGCCGCGUGAGUGAAGAAGGUUUUCGGAUCGUAAAGCUCUGUUGUUGGUGAAGAAGGAUAGAGGUAGUAACUGGCCUUUAUUUGACGGUAAUCAACCAGAAAGUCACGGCUAACUACGUGCCAGCAGCCGCGGUAAUACGUAGGUGGCAAGCGUUGUCCGGAUUUAUUGGGCGUAAAGCGAGCGCAGGCGGAAGAAUAAGUCUGAUGUGAAAGCCCUCGGCUUAACCGAGGAACUGCAUCGGAAACUGUUUUUCUUGAGUGCAGAAGAGGAGAGUGGAACUCCAUGUGUAGCGGUGGAAUGCGUAGAUAUAUGGAAGAACACCAGUGGCGAAGGCGGCUCUCUGGUCUGCAACUGACGCUGAGGCUCGAAAGCAUGGGUAGCGAACAGGAUUAGAUACCCUGGUAGUCCAUGCCGUAAACGAUGAGUGCUAAGUGUUGGGAGGUUUCCGCCUCUCAGUGCUGCAGCUAACGCAUUAAGCACUCCGCCUGGGG